AUUGAACGCUGGCGGAAUGCUUUACACAUGCAAGUCAAACGGCAGCACGGACUUCGGUCUGGUGGCGAGUGGCGAACGGGUGAGUAAUACAUCGGAACGUGCCCAGUCGUGGGGGAUAACGUAGCGAAAGCUACGCUAAUACCGCAUACGAUCUACGGAUGAAAGCGGGGGAUCGCAAGACCUCGCGCGAUUGGAGCGGCCGAUGGCAGAUUAGGUAGUGGGUAGGGUAAAGGCCUACCAAGCCGACGAUCGGUAGCUGGUCUGAGCGAGUGAUCAGGCACACUGGGACUGGGACACGGCCCGGACUCCUACGGGAGGCAGCAGUGUGGAAGUUUGGACAAUAGGCGCAAGCCUGAUCCAGCCAUUCCGCGUGCAGGAUGAAGGCCUUCGGGUUGUAAACUGCUUUUGUACAGAACGAAAAGGCUCUGGUUAAUACCUGGGGCUCAUGACGGUACUGUAAGAAUAAGCACCGGCUAACUACGUGCCAGCAGCCGCAGUAA
rnacentral:rRNA from 1 species